UGAUUCUCAUCAAAUGAACAUCGUUUCGUUUUUUUUCUCGUUUCCCGAAUCUGCUUGCGGUAUUUUUUUUCGGAGUAAAAUAUUUGCGUAAAAUAGCCACUGAAUCAGUAGUUCCAGCGCGCAACCAUCGGAGCCGGCCAACCGUAACCUGGAGCAGGAUGCGGGCGAAGCCAAAAAGGUCCAGGUCACCAAGGUUACCAGGGAGCCAACGAUGCAGAGGAGUAGGCGACGAAGGCAUCGGUCCUGUACGACAACAGGUUAAGACACCCCGCGAGCAGCAAACGAUACGCCGGAACCAUGGGUGCGUCCUGAAUUUCCAGACAUGUAAAACGAGUGUAUUGUGUAGAGUGUUGUUGUGUUAUUGAGAUUGUCGUGCUAGUGUGAUUGUGUAUAAGUGAAUAAAAACAGCGAAAAUAAAAGUUUAAAACUGCU